rnacentral:rRNA from 1 species
ACUCAAAGGAAUAGACGGGGGCCCGCACAAGCGGUGGAGUAUGUGGUUCAAUUCGACGCAACGCGCAGAACCUUACCUGGGCUUAACAUCCCUUGACAACCGUAGAGAUACGGCUUUGACUUCGGUCACAAGGAGAUAGGUGCUGCAUGGCUGUCGUCAGCUCGUGUCGUAAGAUGUUGGGUUAAGUCCCGCAACGAGCGCAACCCCUAUUCUUAGUUACUACCAUUAAGUUGAGGACUCUAGGAAGACUGCCGGUGUUAAACCGGAGGAAGGCGGGGAUGACGUCAAGUCCUCAUGGCCCUUACGUCCAGGGCUACACACGUACUACAAUGGCAGAAACAAACCGACGCAAAGCCGCGAGGUAGAGCUAAUCGGAAAAACACUGUCCCAGUCCGGAUUGGAGUCUGCAACUCGACUCCAUGAAGUUGGAAUCGCUAGUAAUCGCAGAUCAGCACGCUGCGGUGAAUACGUUCCCGGGCCUUGUACACACCGCCCGU